UGAAAAACGGAGCCCACAAGUAAAAAAUUCAGGAUAUCCGCUAAGCUCUGGAGACAAGUCGUUCCAGGGGAUUCACACGAUAUGGAAAUUAUAUUGAGUUUUCGACCUUAAAUAUGAUGAAGUUCUUCCAGCGUAAAAAGCCCAAGGGGUGAAAGCGUAUGAAGUACAAUGAUAAUAUCGACAACCCAUUUCCGGAUCUACGACCAUUGUUACCCACCAUAGAUGGGGAAAAGAGGGGUUGGAAUAAUAGACAACAUCACAGGUAUCUCGUUACCUCUCAAGAAUACCAUCAAGAGGAUGUGUACUUCAGAGUUCAUAUAGAGCGUCAAAAAGGGCAGAACACACUCUAAUAGAAAUUAAUUUUAAAUUUUUGUACCAUACAAAGGUGGUAUGCGGUUUUCAACAAGUAAAUAUUGUGACUACAACGAGAAAAAAAAUGGAGAGAGACUUUGCUGAAAUGUCUUUUGCAUUUUGUGAUCCAGGAAGAAAUAUUUCACUUUCCUAUUUUUCUCAGUGUAAGCAUGGAUAUACGUACGUAAGUAUUAUUUAGAUGAGACAAAAUUUUAUGUUUUUAUAUUAUUCCCUGGAGCAUAAAAAUACAAAGGGAACGGGUCUAUUACGGAACUUUUAAGCAGCAUUUAAUUAAUCACAUAA